GAUGAACGCUGGCGGCGUGCCUAAUACAUGCAAGUCGAGCGAACAGACGAGGAGCUUGCUCCUCUGACGUUAGCGGCGGACGGGUGAGUAACACGUGGAUAACCUACCUAUAAGACUGGGAUAACUUCGGGAAACCGGAGCUAAUACCGGAUAAUAUAUUGAACCGCAUGGUUCAAUAGUGAAAGACGGUUUUGCUUUCACUUAUAGAUGGAUCCGCGCCGCAUUAGCUAGUUGGUAAGGUAACGGCUUACCAAGGCAACGAUGCGUAGCCGACCGGAGAGGGUGAACGGCCACACUGGAAGUGAGACACGGUCCAGACUCCUACGGGAGGCAGCAGUAGGGAAUCUUACGCAAUGGGCGAAAGCUUGACGGAGCAACGCCGCGUGAGUGAUGAAGGUCUUCGGAUCGUAAAACUCUGUUAUUAGGGAAGAACAAAUGUGUAAGUAACUAUGCACGUCUUGACGGUACCUAAUCAGAAAGCCACGGCUAACUACGUG
rnacentral:rRNA from 1 species